CCUACGGGUGGCAGCAGUCGAGAAUCAUUUACAAUGGGGGAAACCCUGAUGGUGCAACGCCGCGUGAAGGAAGAAGGCUUUCGGGUUGUAAACUUCUUUUCUCAGGGACGAAGCAAGUGACGGUACCUGAGGAAUAAGCCACGGCUAACUACGUGCCAGCAGCCGCGGUAAUACGUAGGUGGCAAGCGUUAUCCGGAUUUACUGGGUGUAAAGGGCGUGUAGGCGGGGACGCAAGUCAGAUGUGAAAACCACGGGCUCAACCUGUGGCCUGCAUUUGAAACUGUGUUUCUUGAGUACUGGAGAGGCAGACGGAAUUCCUAGUGUAGCGGUGAAAUGCGUAGAUAUUAGGAGGAACACCAGUGGCGAAGGCGGUCUGCUGGACAGCAACUGACGCUGAGGCGCGAAAGCGUGGGGAGCAAACAGGAUUAGAUACCCCGGUAGUC
rnacentral:rRNA from 1 species